rnacentral:rRNA from 1 species
UACAGAGGUCUCAAGCGUUGUUCGGAUUCAUUGGGCGUAAAGGGUGCGUAGGUGGCGGGGCAAGUCUGGUGUGAAAUCCCGGGGCUCAACCCCGGAACUGCACUGGAUACUGCUUUGCUAGAGUACUGGAGAGGGAACUGGAAUUUACGGUGUAGCAGUGAAAUGCGUAGAUAUCGUAAGGAAGACCAGUGGCGAAGGCGAGUUCCUGGACAGUUACUGACACUGAGGCACGAAGGCCAGGGGAGCAAACGGG